GACAGCUUGGCCGAGUGGUUAAGGCGAUAGACUAGAAAUGUAUUGGGGUAACCCGCGUGAGUUCAAAUCUUACAGCUGUCG
rfam:Phytophthora infestans T30-4 supercont1.81 genomic scaffold, whole genome shotgun sequence.